UACGGAGGGUGCGAGCGUUGUCCGGAAUCACUGGGCGUAAAGGGCGCGUAGGUGGCGCGGCAAGUCAACGGUGAAAGCUCGACGCUCAACGUCGAGUCGGCCGUCGAUACUGCCGCGCUGGAGCACUGUAGAGGCUCAUGGAAUUCCGGGUGUAGCGGUGGAAUGCGUAGAGAUCCGGAAGAACACCGGUGGCGAAGGCGGUGAGCUGGGCAGUAGCUGACACUGAGGCGCGACAGCGUGGGGAGCAAACAGG
rnacentral:rRNA from 1 species